GACGAACGCUGGCGGCGUGCUUAACACAUGCAAGUCGUACGGUAAGGCCCUUUCGGGGGUACACGAGUGGCGAACGGGUGAGUAACACGUGAGUAACCUGCCCACAACUUUGGGAUAACGCUAGGAAACUGGUGCUAAUACUGGAUAUGUGCUCCUGCUGCAUGGUGGGGGUUGGAAAGCUCCGGCGGUUGUGGAUGGACUCGCGGCCUAUCAGCUUGUUGGUGGGGUAGUGGCCUACCAAGGCGGCGGCGGGUAGCCGGCCUGAGAGGGUGACCGGGCACAUUUGGACUGAGAUACGGCCCAGACUCCUACGGGAGGCAGCAGUGGGGAAUAUUGCACAAUGGGCGCAAGCCUGAUGCAGCAACGCCGCGUGCGGGAGGACGGCCUUCGGGUUGUAAACCGCUUUCAGCAGGGACGAAGCUUUUUGUGACGGUACCUGCAGAAGAAGCACCGGCUAACUACGUG
rnacentral:rRNA from 1 species